CAUGGAGUGAAAAAUGAAGAUACUUUAAUUGCUUCUUAUUACAAUGAAGACUUCAGAUCCAACUCUGAUUUCACUCUAUG
ensembl:snoRNA